CAUACCAUUUGCAAAAGAAAACAACCAAAGGUAUUGCAAAUAAGGGAAUGUCCAGUCUUUUUUAGUAGCCACUAAGUCACAAACACUGGCCAAAGUUAGCGUUCAUAAUAGUUUUUUUUGAAUUUUUAACACAAACAAAUAGAAAUGCUAAAUUUGGACAGUGUUUCUGACUAAGUGGCUACUAAAAAGACUGGACAUACCACAUACUUGGGUUGUCUACUUUAUGUCAUAUGAGGUG